rnacentral:pre_miRNA from 1 species
GGCCUUGUUGCAGAGCCAAUUUGGCAUUCUGUCCACCUCCAUGAAUGCUUCAUGCAUGAUACCCCAGUUCAAAGUCAUAGAUCUUGGAGGCGGCCAGUAUGUCAAACAGGCUCUGUAAAUUUCUC